rnacentral:rRNA from 1 species
CCUACGGGGCGCAGCAGUGGGGAAUAUUGCACAAUGGGGGAAACCCUGAUGCAGCGACGCCGCGUGAGCGAAGAAGUAUUUCGGUAUGUAAAGCUCUAUCAGCAGGGAAGAAAAAUGACGGUACCUGAGUAAGAAGCACCGGCUAAAUACGUGCCAGCAGCCGCGGUAAUACGUAUGGUGCAAGCGUUAUCCGGAUUUACUGGGUGCAAAGGGAGCGUAGACGGCGAAGAAAGUCUGAAGUGAAAGCCCGCGGCUCAACCGCGGAAUGGCUUUGGAAACUUUUUUGCUGGAGUACCGGAGAGGUA